GCCUAACACAUGCAAGUCGAGCGCCGUAGCAAUACGGAGCGGCAGACGGGUGAGUAACGCGUGGGAACGUGCCCUUCGGUUCGGAAUAACUCAGGGAAACUUGGGCUAAUACCGGAUACGUCCGAAAGGAGAAAGAUUUAUCGCCGAAGGAUCGGCCCGCGUAAGAUUAGCUAGUUGGUGAGGUAACGGCUCACCAAGGCUCUGAUCUUUAGCUGGUCUGAGAGGACGAUCAGCCACACUGGGACUGAGACACGGCCCAGACUCCUACGGGAGGCAGCAGUGGGGAAUAUUGGACAAUGGGCGCAAGCCUGAUCCAGCCAUGCCGCGUGAGUGAUGAAGGCCUUAGGGUUGUAAAGCUCUUUUGGCAGGGACGAUAAUGACUGUACCUGCAGAAUAAGCCCCGGCCAACUUCGUGCCAGCAGCCGCGGUAAUACGAAGGGGGCUAGCGUUGCUCGGAAUCACUGGGCGUAAAGCGCACGUAGGCGGGUCGUUAAGUCGGGGGUGAAAUCCUGGAGCUCAACUCCAGAACUGCCUUCGAUACUGGCGAUCUUUGAGUCCGGGAGAGGUGGGUGGAACUGCGAGUGUAGAGGUGAAAUUCGUAGAUAUUCGCAAGAACACCAGUGGCGAAGGCGGCUCACUGGCCCGGUACUGACGCUGAGGUGCGAAAGCGUGGGGA
rnacentral:rRNA from 1 species